rnacentral:lncRNA from 1 species
UUUUCUUCUUAAUAUCCAAAUCAAAGUGAUUAAUUACCCAAUUAAUGACAACUCUGCAACCACCAUUGAAAUCUGCAAGACUUUGAUUAAUUAAGUCUUGUAUUUAUUGAGUUUUGGAGUCAUUACCUCUAAGCUUGUAUUUAACUCUGAGUAUNAAUGGUCCCACCAUUCUCUUUAAUAUUUUAUCCUUACUAACACUCUUUAUUUACAAAAAAAAUCACUCAAAAUUCAAUCUCAACCACUCAUCUCAUAAAGUGGUGGGACUCUUUCUCCACUACAUCAAAAUCAUCACCAAUUUUAUUAAAUCUCGUGCCCAAACAAAUUGCCAUAAUCUUAGCGGACGGAGGGAGUACUAUUUAAUAUUUAUAUUUUUUAUUAAAAAUAUUAUUUAAUUUUUAUAAUUGUCGUGGAUGACGCACUACUAGUAAUAAUAAUGUGUGCGUGUGUUGAUCUAAGGAUAAAUAUGUAAUGUACAGGGCUUGAGAUCCUGAGUUCGAGUUCACCGUCAUACGGUCUUUAAAUAUCUUUAUUUACUUGUGUAAUUUAAUAAUAAUAAUAAUAAUAAUAAUAAUAAUAAUAAUAAUAAUAAUAAUAAUAAUAAUAAUAAUAAAGGGUUACAUUAGAUCUUUUCGAAUUCUAGGAUAUACAUUUUCAAUUAGUAGAUUUUUCCCAAUUAUAGAAUAUACAUUAUCAAAAUAAAUGUGAAUACUUAUUGGAAACGAAGGUCCGAACGGAAGGGAGUACUUGGUUAGGGCCAAUGUUUUGAAACGUUCUCCGAUAAUUGCGGCUACUUGCCGCCUCCAUAGUUUUCAAUCGAAAAAAUGACCUUUUCUCCACAACUCUUUAAACUAAUCGAAUAAUUUUGAGACGCUUUUACACUCAGCAAAACAACAAAAGGCGUGGCCCAGGAUAUGGAGAUUAGAUAGUCAUAGAGAUGGCAAGGAUUGAACAACAGAUAUAUGUUUAUAAUAUUAGCCUUUUAAAUUAACACAAACAGUUGCACAUAUUUGACUCUUUUGAUGUCUUAAUUUACACUAAUUAAAUAAUGGAUACCCUGUAAUUAGAAUAUUACAUUAUCAACUUGUUCACAGCUCUCCCUCCUCUCUCUCUCUCUUCAACAUCAUAUCCCUUCCAUUUCAGCCUUCUCUCUCUCUCUCUCUUGUUGGUUGCGUAUGGAAUAGAGCUGUUUUAUAUAUUACAAGUCAGUCAGCGAAUUCCUCUCUAACUCUCUCUCUUUCUAAAGGUACAAUUUUAUUCUGUUGUUCAAUUUCCAACUUGGUGAACUAGGUUUGGUUUCUUGAAGAAGUAGUACAAUAACCUUAAAUCAAGAGUGCAUGUUGUUUGCUUGUGUUUGGUGCAAAUGUGACAGCGGUGGUGGUGUCGAGUAGUAUGUGCAGCCACUACUUGUUGAAGAAGAAGAAGAAGAAGAGGAAGAUGGAGAAUUCCAGGGCGAUUUAACCGACAUAAUCAGAGCCACCGGCGGAGCAGAAACCCCCGCCGCCGCACCGGACUGGCACUUCCCCGCCAACCCGAUCACCUUCUCCACCAACCCGGCCGACGAUUUCGGUGAUCCCUUUGCGCACCUCAGAGAUCCGCUGAUCCAUAUCGAUGCACCGCCGCCGCUGCCAGGGUUCUUCCAUGGCUCCGACGUCAUCAAACCUAGUAGCGUCGAUGACAGCAAUCUAGGUCAUAAAAUUAUUGAUGAUGAGAUGAAGAGACCUCCGAAUAUCUUCUCGAGGAUGCUGCAGAUAUCUCCCACGCCAAAGCCGCCGUUGCAGCUGCCGCUGCCCUGCGAUUCUCCGGUCGUAGUUGCUCCGACAGGAUUAAAGGGUGUUGCUCCGAUGUUAGUGCCAAAUGAUCAUACCUUAAUUUCUCCGAGCAACUCCAGAGGUUGCUUGAUGGAGAGCAGUCUGCAGAUCUCAUCUCCGCGAAAUACGGGCAUCAGAAGAAGGUGGGCAUUUUCUUCUUAAUAUCCAAAUCAAAGUGAUUAAUUACCCAAUUAAUUACAACUCUGCAACCACCAUUGAAAUCUGCAAGACUUUGAUUAAUUAAGUCUUGUAUUUAUUGAGUUUUGGAGUCAUUACCUCUAGCUUGUAUUUAACUCUGAGUAUCACAUGUUGAGGAUCUCAAAAACAACAGUAUUUUUUUCUUUCUUUCCCAAAUCAUUAAAAUCUUUUUAACUUUAAAUCAAAAGUUAAUGAAUUUAUGCGAGUCCCUUAAAAAUCCGAC